AAAUUGAAGAGUUUGAUCAUGGCUCAGAUUGAACGCUGGCGGCAGGCCUAACACAUGCAAGUCGAACGGUAACAGGAAUCAGCUUGCUGAUUCGCUGACGAGUGGCGGACGGGUGAGUAAUGUAUGGGAAACUGCCUGAUGGAGGGGGAUAACUACUGGAAACGGUAGCUAAUACCGCAUAACGUCGCAAGACCAAAGAGGGGGACCUUCGGGCCUCUUGCCAUCGGAUGUGCCCAGAUGGGAUUAGCUAGUAGGUGGGGUAACGGCUCACCUAGGCGACGAUCCCUAGCUGGUCUGAGAGGAUGACCAGCCACACUGGAACUGAGACACGGUCCAGACUCCUACGGGAGGCAGCAGUGGGGAAUAUUGCACAAUGGGCGCAAGCCUGAUGCAGCCAUGCCGCGUGUAUGAAGAAGGCCUUCGGGUUGUAAAGUACUUUCAGCGGGGAGGAAGGGAGUAAAGUUAAUACCUUU
rnacentral:rRNA from 1 species